GCUCUGUCAACAUUUUUUCUGGCUUGUGUCCUUUGUGUUUGGAAGGUUUACUGCUAUUUCUUUCUUACAUCUUCUCUUAUAUAAUCUUGGUGUCAGUGCUAUGCUAAUUCCUUUCAUUAAUGAACAAUUUGAAUUUUUCUGAGCAACUUGUUUUCAGAAAGUUCCAUUAAGAGAAAAAACAUAACUGUACCCUUUCAGACUCUUAAUUCCUUUUUUUCUUUCUUAGAGACAGACUUCUUUCUUCCAAUAUGGCUCAUCUGUGUGGUUCUUCCAUAGCCCUGCACUUUUGUUUCUCUGAGAGUCACUGGGUCCAUGAAGGCUCUUGUUGCCACCCCCGAUCACACAGGAUCUACACCCAUUGCUGCCAGCAUGAAUACAGCUUCUGCACUUCUCAGAUAACCUCUCACCUGCAGGAAGUGCAAUUUUCUGAAAUCUGCUGCCAUGGGAUCCUCUCAAUCUCAACAAAGUGCUCACUGAGAGCUGCCCUGACAAAUCUCCCAGGAAAGGCAGUGUGACGUGGAGCAAGGAACACCACGAGAACAGAAGAGCAGUGACUGCCACUGGCUGCAAGGACUCCGGCAUUACUACAGCUCCCAAGUCAGAUACCCUGUGUGCACCAACCUCCAGUUUCCUGCUUUCUCUGGCAGGGGUUUUGAUUCUGAAAUCCUGCCUCCUACAAGUUUCACCAGUGCAUACAGUUAGAUACAGUAAUUCUACUAAAAUUAUGCGGUUGGAAAUGUUUGCAUAGGAACAUUCUUCAUUCAUCAAGCAUGUUUCGAUCUCUUUUGUGCUAGGCACUGAGGACACACUAGUGAGCAAAAUAAACAUUAUCACUUCCUUUGGCUUGUAGUCCAGUGGGGAAGAAAGAAAUUAACCAAAUAAUUAAAAUAAUACACAAUUAAAAAUAAUAUAAAGCAUUAUAAAGAAAAGUACUUCUUGCUUUAAGAAUGCCACAUUAGGGGAACUGACUUAUACAGAGUAAGAGUGUGUUAGGGGAAGUUGUCAGGAAAGUUAUCAGAAAGGUCUUUCCUGAGGAUACGUCUGAACUAAGACCUGAAGGAUGACUGCUGUGUUAAUACCAUGGAAUUCCAUAUAGCAAUUAAGGACACAUGAAGAAAAACAUGUAUUGAAAUAGAUGGCCUUCUAAAUCUAGUGUUUGGGAAAAAUCAAGUUGCAAAAUGAUAUUAUGAUAUAUUGAAUUAUUUUUUAACUUUUUUUGUAUGCCCUGUUCUUUUUGCCAUGUGGCUUUGUAGUAACUUCCUCUAGAAUUGUGGAUUACAUAUCCUUGCCCCGCUGAAACUAGGUUUAGCUGUAUCAUUGGCUUUGGUUCGUGAAAAGUGGGCAGAAGUGACCAUGUGUCAGUUUCAAGGGAGACCUCAGAGACAUGGCGUCUUUCUUCCUAUCCUCUUAUAUUCAGGUGAUCUUCUGUGAGAUGAGCAAGGCCCAGGUAGCCUCUACCUCUUCAUCCCAAACCCAGAACAAACACAUAUGGAACAGACAUGAACACAGCCACACCCAGAAGACCCACAGCCUACUCUGCACAGCUACCUGUCUGAGCCCAUCUGAUUAACCAAACUUUAGCUGACUUGCAACCUCAUGAGUUUGGGAAAAAAUGCUUAUUGUGAAUCACCUAGUUUUGGGGUAGUUUGCUAGAUAGCAUUGUUGUAGCCAUAAUCAACAACACAGUUAUACAAUAUAAUACCAUUUACGUAAAUUUUGAAAAUCUGUAAAACAAAGCUAUGUAUUAUACACGAAUACACAUAUAAUUUAAUAUCGUAAGAAAAGGAAUGGAAAAGAGAUGCACCAGAAUCACAAUAGUCAUUAGGGUACAGUGCUGCCUUUGACAGUAUCUGAAGUGUUUCAUUUCUUAAAAACAAAACCAAAACCCAAAGUGUGAUUGGCAAGCUUUUAGACGUCAAUAGGGCUAGACGGUAGA
rnacentral:lncRNA from 1 species